AAAGUUUCUACCAGCAGUGAAUGUGAGGAGUCGGAUCUGUAAACUAUAAAACUGAAUAAGGAAUUGACGGAAUUAACAAUACAUUUUAGUAUUCUACACCCCGACCUGUGUGAAGGAUGGGCGUCGACACCAGCCUACAGGAGAAUGUGGUGGCGGCGGCCUGCGUGGUGCUGGUGGUGGCAUUCAUCGUCUUCCUGUUGGUUGUGGCCCGCUCAGUGAUCGUCAAGUGGCCCCGCCUCACGGAGGAGGAACUGUUAGAGGUGGAGCCGAUGAACCGCCGGAUGGACGUCUGGUCCGUCCAACAGGCAGAGUCCUGCAGUGUGGAUAUAGAAAAUCUGGAAACCGACGGAUUUGUUGAACACUAGGUGUUGCUCUGCGACUGAUCCAUUACAAUCAAACAAGAUAAUGAAAGAAAUAAUGAAUUAGAAUCUUGUGUAAUUUCAAACGGUUGCAACAAGUUUAAACUUGAACUUCAAACUAUUAAAUAUGGUGACACUUUGGAUAUUUUUCACUGAAGCAGCUUAUUUCUAAAAAUUAGCAUAGCCAAGCACUGAACUGAUACUUUGCAACUUCUUGUAACUUUGAAAUCCAUGUCCAAUGUAAAAAGAUGAAGUUUGUUAUCCUCAGCUAAUGGUUUGUUAUUGUCUCUAGUUACUUUUCAAAUCUUGCUGUUGCAUGAGCAUUAUUGUUUGUCUGUGCACAAUCUGAAUUGCCAGUAAAUACCAGAAAAUAAAAGUUAUUAAAC
rnacentral:sRNA from 1 species